GGACAUAUGCCCGAGAAAAGGACCACUUUGAUAGAGUGAAAUAUAGAGGUGAAACCCCCCUUAUGUCCU
rnacentral:tRNA from 1 species